rnacentral:rRNA from 2 species
GUUGAUUGGUGCUUGCAUCAUGAUUUGCAUUUGAGUGAGUGGCGAACUGGUGAGUAACACGUGGGAAACCUGCCCAGAAGCGGGGGAUAACACCUGGAAACAGAUGCUAAUACCGCAUAACAACUUGGACCGCAUGGUCCGAGUUUGAAAGAUGGCUUCGGCUAUCACUUUUGGAUGGUCCCGCGGCGUAUUAGCUAGAUGGUGGGGUAACGGCUCACCAUGGCAAUGAUACGUAGCCGACCUGAGAGGGUAAUCGGCCACAUUGGGACUGAGACACGGCCCAAACUCCUACGGGAGGCAGCAGUAGGGAAUCUUCCACAAUGGACGAAAGUCUGAUGGAGCAACGCCGCGUGAGUGAAGAAGGGUUUCGGCUCGUAAAACUCUGUUGUUAAAGAAGAACAUAUCUGAGAGUAACUGUUCAGGUAUUGACGGUAUUUAACCAGAAAGCCACGGCUAACUACGUGCCAGCAGCCGCGGUAAUACGUAGGUGGCAAGCGUUGUCCGGAUUUAUUGGGCGUAAAGCGAGCGCAGGCGGUUUUUUAAGUCUGAUGUGAAAGCCUUCGGCUCAACCGAAGAAGUGCAUCGGAAACUGGGAAACUUGAGUGCAGAAGAGGACAGUGGAACUCCAUGUGUAGCGGUGAAAUGCGUAGAUAUAUGGAAGAACACCAGUGGCGAAGGCGGCUGUCUGGUCUGUAACUGACGCUGAGGCUCGAAAGUAUGGGUAGCAAACAGGAUUAGAUACCCNGGUAGUCCAUACCGUNNACGAUGAAUGCUAAGUGUUGGAGGGGNUUCCGCCCUUCAGUGCUGCAGCUAACGCAAUUAAGCAUUCC